AAUAAGUAAUAAAGAAAUCUAUAUGUUUAUUUGUGUAAAAUAGAGAGAGAAAAAGAGAGAUAGAUGAAAAGACUAAGAGAAAUAGAAAAAUAAAAAAAUAUGAUUUGCUGUAAAAAAGCAAGACAAAUAAAGAUAGUGAAAAUUAAAUAGAUAUAUUUUGUAUUUUUGUGAGAGAGAAAAAAAAAGAAAAAGAGAUAGAGUAGAGAGCAUUGGGAAAAAGGAAAGAAAAGAGGAACACAUCACACAAAUAAUCAGAACCUGCAACACAUCCAAAGAGAGAGAGACAGGAGGGGAGAGAGAGAGAAGGAGACAGAUAGAGGAGGGGAGAGAGAGGGAGAGCGAGAGAAAUGAGGAGGGAAGAAAGAGAGAUGCAGCAGAAGGCUGGCAGCUGAGUGGAUGAGAGGACACACACUGGAGAAGGAGGAGGAGGAGAGAGGAUGCCUCCUCUCUGUCUGCCUCUACAGCAUCCCCAACCUGAGAGAGAACACACAGCGCGAGCAUCGCACUCAUCCUGCAGCCACUCCAUCCGUCUCUCUUUCUCCUUCCACAGUCCUCUACACACGUUUUCAUCUGCAGCUUGCACGAUAUCGCAUAUGGAACACCACAGUAUAUAAGGAAGACCGAAAAAAAACAGGAAUCAAAACAAGACCAGGUUCAAUCAUGGUUCCUGCGUUCCUGCAUUUUUGCGGCGGCUGCGACAGAAUGGUCACCCCUCCAGAAGAACCCAUCAUUACGUGAUCAUAUACACGAGUGCACCAGUGACCGCAUGCCUCAGCGAAGAGCUUCCCUAAAAGCAGGAACUCUAUGUGGAGUGCUGAGGGGAACCUCACAGCGCUUUGAUUCAGAGACCCGGUUUCCUGAUUAACAGCUGGAAUGCACUCUCUUUCGCCAAGUCUGAGUGUUUGAGAGCCUCUGAGAGAGCCGAGCCCUCAAACACCUGCAGCAGCGCUCUCCUAUACCAGCAUAGGUUUAUUUAUGAAUGAAUGAGGAAUGUUCGCGCAGAGAAUUCCGCAGAUGAGAGCAUUUAUUUGGCCGCGAGCUUUGCCAAAAAGGCUUGAGCUGCCUGAUUUUUUGAUGGGUUCUUGAGACCCUAUGUGAGCGAAUUGAAGCGCCAACCCCAAGGACUCAGCUGUUGCUUUAACUUUACUCAGUCAAGGACACAUCUGGUGGAUAAAGGAUUAAAAUAAACACUCUGUCCAUUAGAACA
rnacentral:lncRNA from 1 species